rnacentral:rRNA from 1 species
GAUGAACGCUGGCGGCGUGCCUAAUACAUGCAAGUCGAGCGAACGGACGAGAAGCUUGCUUCUCUGAUGUUAGCGGCGGACGUGUGAGUAACACGUGGAUAACCUACCUAUCAGACUGGGAUAACUUCGGGAAACCGGAGCUAAUACCGUAUAAUAUUUUGAACCGCAUGGUUCAAAAGUGAAAGACGGUCUUGCUGUCACUUAUAGAUGGAUCCGCGCUGCAUUAGCUAGUUGGUAAGGUAACGGCUUACCAAGGCAACGAUGCAUAGCCGACCUGAGAGGGUGAUCGGCCACACUGGAACUGAGACACGGUCCAGACUCCUACGGGAGGCAGCAGUAGGGAAUCUUCCGCAAUGGGCGAAAGCCUGACGGAGCAACGCCGCGUGAGUGAUGAAGGUCUUCGGAUCGUAAAACUCUGUUAUUAGGGAAGAACAUAUGUGUAAGUAACUGUGCACAUCUUGACGGUACCUAAUCAGAAAGCCACGGCUAACUACGUG